CGGCUCAACCNUUAAACUGCUUGGGAAACUGAUAAUCUAGAGUAAGGGAGAGGCAGAUGGAAUUCUUGGUGUAGGGGUAAANUCCAUAGAUAUCAAGAAGAAUACCUAUUGCGAAGGCGAUCUGCUGGAACUUAACUGACGCUAAUGCGUGAAAGCGUGGGGAGCAAACAGGAUUAGAUACCCUGGUAGUCCACGCCCUAAACGAUGUAUACCGGUUGUUGCUGUGCUAGUCACGGCAGUAAUCCACCUAACGGAUUAAGUAUACCGCCUGGGGAGUACGGUCGCAAGACUAAAACUCAAAGGAAUAGACGGGGACCCGCACAAGCGGUGGAGCAUGUGGUUUAAUUCGAAGAUACGCGAAGAACCUUACCCGGACUUGAUAUCUAACAAAUCAUCCAGAGAUGGAAGAGUGUCUGCUUGCAGAAAUGUUAAGACAGGUGCUGCACGGCUGUCGUCAGCUCGUGUCGUGAGAUGUUGGGUUAAGUCCCGCAACGAGCGCAACCCACGUCAUUAGUUGCUAACGGUUCGGCCGAGCACUCUAAUGAGACUGCCUUCGUAAGGAGGAGGAAGGUGUGGACGACGUCAAGUCAUCAUGGCCCUUAUGUCCGGGGCGACACACGUGCUACAAUGGCAUAUACAAUAAGGCGCAAUAUCGUAAGAUGGAGCAAAUCUAAAAAAUAUGUCCCAGUUCGGAUUGGAGUCUGCAACUCGACUCCAUGAAGCCGGAAUCGCUAGUAAUCGUAGAUCAGCCAUGCUACGGUGAAUACGUUCCCGGGUCUUGUACUCACCGCCCGUCACACCAUGGGAGUUGAUUUCAC
rnacentral:rRNA from 1 species